GGGUCAGUAGGUUGGUCGUGCCACCGGUACGUACUGGUCUCACUGAUUCCUCCUUCCUGAAGAACCGUAAUGCCAUCAAUUUGGUGUUGCGGGGAAACAGGACUGUUACUUUGAAAAAAUUAGAGUGUUUAAAGCAAGCUAACGCUUGAAUACAUUAGCAUGGAAUAAUGAAAUAGGACGAUCGAUCCUAUUUUGUUGGUUUCUAGGAUUGACGUA
rnacentral:rRNA from 1 species